CCCCUCUCAGGGUCGCACCUGGAGAGUUUUCACUACUCUACCAGUCUUGCUUACGGGAGGGAGAGUCAAGCAGAGGCCUACCCAUUCCAUUCCCAGUUUGGACAGUGGCUAAGGAGUGGAAGGUAAUCUGCUACAAGU